rnacentral:rRNA from 1 species
UGGUUAAACCUGGGGGAGAGACAUUACUGAGUGAGGGCCCUCUGGGUCCAACCUCCCACCCGUGUUUAUUGUACCUUGUUGCUUCGGUGCGCCCGCCUCACGGCCGCCGGGGGGCUUCUGCCCCCGGGUCCGCGCGCACCGGAGACACCAUUGAACUCUGUCUGAAGAUUGCAGUCUGAGCAUAAACUAAAUAAGUUAAAACUUUCAACAACGGAUCUCUUGGUUCCGGCAUCGAUGAAGAACGCAGCGAAAUGCGAUAACUAAUGUGAAUUGCAGAAUUCAGUGAAUCAUCGAGUCUUUGAACGCACAUUGCGCCCCCUGGUAUUCCGGGGGGCAUGCCUGUCCGAGCGUCAUUGCUGCCCUCAAGCACGGCUUGUGUGUUGGGCUCCGUCCCCCCGGGGACGGGUCCGAAAGGCAGCGGCGGCACCGAGUCCGGUCCUCGAGCGUAUGGGGCUUUGUCACCCGCUCUGUAGGCCCGGCCGGCGCCAGCCGACAACCAAUCAUCCUUUUUUCAGGUUGACCUCGGAUCAGGUAGGGAUACCCGCUGAACUUAAGCAUAUCAAUAAGCGGAGGA